rnacentral:misc_RNA from 1 species
GUGGAAGCUGGCUUGCCUGCGAUAGCAUCAACGCGGUGUAACAGAUAACCCGAGUUGUCUGUAUCGCAGGCAAGCCAGCUCCCAC